GACAGGGGACACUGGUGACACCUUGGGGACAUUACCAUGGAGGGUCUCGUAGGCCUGGAUGACCUCGGCCAUGAACAUGGGGUGACAGGGGACAGGAGGUGACACCAGGUGACAUUACCAUGCAGUGUCUCGUAGGCCUGGAUGACCUCGGCCAUGAACAUGGGGUGACAGGGGACACUGGUGACACUUUGGGGACAUACCAUGGAGUGUCUCGUAGGCCUGGAUGACCUCGGCCAUGAGCAUGGGGUGACAGGGGACAGGAGGUGACACUGGUGACACUUUGGGGACAUUACCAUGGAGGGUCUCGUAGGCCUGGAUGACCUCAGCCAUGAACAUGGGGUGACAGGGGACACUGGUGACACUUUGGGGACAUACCAUGGAGUGUCUCGUAGGCCUGGAUGACCUCGGCCAUGAGCAUGGGGUGACAGGGGACAGGAGGUGACACUGGUGACACUUUGGGGACAUUACCAUGGAGGGUCUCGUAGGCCUGGAUGACCUCGGCCAUGAACAUGGGGUGACAGGGGACAGGAGGUGACACCAGGUGACACAGGUGACAUUACCAUGCAGGGUCUCAUAGGCCUGGAUGACCUCGGCCAUGAACAUGGGGUGACAGGGGACAGGAAGGGACACACCAGGUGACACCAUGUGACAUUACCAUGCAGUGUCUCGUAGGCCUGGAUGACCUCGGCCAUGAACAUGGGGUGACAGGGGACACUGGUGACACUUUGGGGACAUUACCAUGCAGUGUCUCGUAGGCCUGGAUGACCUCGGCCAUGAACAUGGGGUGACAGGGGACAGGAGGUGACACUUUGGGGACAUACCAUGGAGGGUCUCGUAGGCCUGGAUGACCUCGGCCAUGAACAUGGGGUGACAGGGGACACUGGUGACACUUUGGGG